UUAUGUUAAAAUCACAAUGGUUACUAGCUUUGUAGACAUAAUGUGGAACGGACGUAUCUAAAAUGUUAAAAAGCCAAUACUAUAUAGGUUUCGUGUUUUUAGCUAUUCAAAUUAAAGGACUUGACGGUACCUUUAUAGAUCUUAACGAAGUUAAAAAUCAUGUUAUGCAAUGGAAGCACCAACACUUGCUUAAUCUGAGUGAGGUUGCAGUAGCUCCAAACGGUAUAUUUGAUUUAAGCGAUGUUAAAAACAAAUUAUUGCAAUGGAAAACACAAAAAUUAACAUCAUUGUGUCCAUCA